UAUGAGUAACGACAAUGGGAGUGAAAAACUCCCACGCCGAAAGACCAAGGUUUCCUGCGCAACGUUAAUCGACGCAGGGUUAGUCGGUUCCUAAGGCGAGGCAGAAAUGCGUAGUCGGUGGCAAACAGGUUAAUAUUCCUGUACUUCUAGUUACUGCGAUGGAGGGACGGAGAAGGCUAGGCCAGCUUGGCGUUGGUCGUCCAAGUUUAAGGUGGUAGGCUGGAAUCUUAGGUAAAUCCGGGAUUCUAAGGCCGAGAGCUGAUGACGAGUUAUCUUUUAGAUGACGAAGUGGUUGAUGCCAUGCUUCCAGGAAAAGCUUCUAAGCUUCAGGUAACUAGGAACCGUACCCCAAACCGACACAGGUGGUUGGGUAGAGAAUACCAAGGCGCUUGAGAGAACUCGGGUGAAGGAACUAGGCAAAAUGGCACCGUAACUUCGGGAGAAGGUGCGCCGGUGAGGGUGAAGUAUUUACUACGUAAGCCCAUGCCGGUCGAAGAUACCAGGCCGCUGCGACUGUUUAUUAAAAACACAGCACUCUGCAAACACGAAAGUGGACGUAUAGGGUGUGACGCCUCCCCGGUGCCGGAAGGUUAAUUGAUGGGGUUAGCUAACGCGAAGCUCUUGAUCGAAGCCCCGGUAAACGGCGGCCGUAACAAUAACGGUCCUAAGGUAGCGAAAUUCCUUGUCGGGUAAGUUCCGACCUGCACGAAUGGCGUAACGAUGGCGGCGCUGUCUCCACCCGAGACUCAGUGAAAUUGAAGUCGCCGUGAAGAUGCAGUGUAUCCGCGGCUAGACGGAAAGACCCCGUGAACCUUUACUAUAGCUUUGCACUGGACUUUGAAUUUGCUUGUGUAGGAUAGGUGGGAGGCUUUGAAGCGUGGACGCCAGUCUGCGUGGAGCCAAUCUUGAAAUACCACCCUGGCAACUUUGAGGUUCUAACUCUGGUCCGUUAUCCGGAUCGAGGACAGUGUAUGGUGGGUAGUUUGACUGGGGCGGUCUCCUCCUAAAGAGUAACGGAGGAGUACGAAGGUGCGCUCAGACCGGUCGGAAAUCGGUCGUAGAGUAUAAAGGCAAAAGCGCGCUUGACUUCGAGACAGACACGUCGAGCAGGUACGAAAGUAGGUCUUAGUGAUCCGGUGGUUCUGUAUGGAAGGGCCAUCGCUCAACGGAUAAAAGGUACUCCGGGGAUAACAGGCUGAUACCGCCCAAGAGUUCAUAUCGACGGCGGUGUUUGGCACCUCGAUGUCGGCUCAUCACAUCCUGGGGCUGAAGCCGGUCCCAAGGGUAUGGCUGUUCGCCAUUUAAAGUGGUACGCGAGCUGGGUUUAGAACGUCGUGAGACAGUUCGGUCCCUAUCUGCCGUGGACGUUUGAGAUUUGAGAGGGGCUGCUCCUAGUACGAGAGGACCGGAGUGGACGAACCUCUGGUGUUCCGGUUGUCACGCCAGUGGCAUUGCCGGGUAGCUAUGUUCGGGAAAGAUAACCGCUGAAAGCAUCUAAGCGGGAAACUUGCCUCAAGAUGAGAUCUCACUGGAACCUUGAGUUCCCUAAAGGGCCGUCGAAGACUACGACGUUGAUAGGUUGGGUGUGUAAGCGCUGUGAGGCGUUGAGCUAACCAAUACUA
rnacentral:rRNA from 1 species